CAUUGGUGUAGAGGUUGGGUGAGAACGGGACGUUUUGCUUCAUUAUCAAGAAGUUGACAGGGAUCAGUCGAGUGAGCAUCUCCGACACGGCAAUAACUCCAUAUUUCGUCGUAAUAACAGUUUGCAAUCAUGGGUAAAUGUUCAUUUUUAUUUCGAGUCGUAAAUCUAUUCUAUCUUGUUAUUAGUUGUUGAUACGACUAGUUACCUUCGAAAACUAAUUUCCCAUUGUUUAUUCAUAGUUAAUUAUGGCAUUGUGUUGCUGUUGGGUGUUGUAUCGUUGAUGUCGACCACGAGAGAAAAUCUUUCAAAAGGAAAGAGAAAAGGCAACAUAAGUCAAUCGAGUGAGCAUCUCCGACCUGGCAACAACUGGAUUCUUCGUCGUAUUACUAGGUCGCAAUCACGGUUAACUAUGCCGUCAUGCUGCUAUUGGUUGUUCUAUCGUCGAUGGCUGGGUCGACCACUGGUGUACCGACGUCUCCUGAAUAAGGCGGAUAUCAAACAGCAACGCCACCGCCUUACUACGCAACAAUAUACGCAACGACCAGAUACUACACCGAGGUUGCACUGUUGGGUUUACAGUUAAACCACCAAGGAUCCAGAUGAUUUCACCACAACUUGUGCUGCUCCUCGAGCUACACUACCAAAGCGCUAGAGUACUACACCGAGGCACCUACUGAGACUACGCAACUACGUAUGCUGCCCCAACCUACGACACCGAGGCUCCAGCUUAUUACAUCACCAAAGCUGUCGAAUUCUACACUGGAGCGCCAAAGUACGACAGAAAUCAGUCAAGUGAGCUUCUCCGACACCCAACACGGCAACCCCGAAGUUUCGAAUAAACUUCGUUUCAAACAGUGGCAAAAAGUGAAGACGAAUUCGACUGCAAUCGCGUCGAAUUGAAUAGCAAAGAUAACAUAUUCGUACGUGUACACCGCGCCGUUAAACUUGACAUUGUCGGUCGGCAAGCCGCACUUGACGAUGGCCGUACCAUCACCUACGACAAGUGCGUUAUUGCCACAGGUGUUAAACGAAAAUCUCUUCCAAUCCCUGAGCGGUGCCCUUAAAGAUGCCCACGAGCACGUAGCGCUGUUCCGCAACAUCGAUGGCGGUAACAUAGGUCGAGUUCCCCGUUCUCCUAAAUAUUUGAGCCAAUGGACAACCGAGAAGGUGAAAGCGGAAAGUGUUAAUGGUUUGCUCAAAGCUAAUGUGGAGGGUGCAAUUUUCGAAGACUACAAGGUCGCAUUGACCUUAAACAAUGGUCAAAAGCAGAUUUAAACUGACCAUGUCGUCGCUGCUGUCGGUUGGGACGUAAACACGGAUUUGGCUGUUGCUUUUGGUUUGGAAAUAGAAGAGAGGAGAUUUUGGUGGUUAUCGAGUGAAUACCGAGCUUGAAGCACGAUCGAACGUUUGGUUGGCUGGAGAUGUUACGUUCUUUUGUGAUAUCAAAUUGGGUCGCUGGUGUAUGGAACAUGAUCACCAUGCUGUUGCAUCAGGGCGAUUGGCUGGAGAGAACAAUACUGGCAAAGAAACAAGGAUAAAAAAUUGCAGUGCACUGUUAACAAGUGCAUUCUUCGUCGUAAUAUCAGUACGCAAUCGGUUGAUUGUGAUGUCGUGAUGUCGCCGUUUGCCGUAUCGUUGAAGGCUGGGUCGAUCACUGGUGUACCGAUGUCUCCUGGGUAUGGCGGAUACCAAAGCACCACGCCGCCGCCUUGCUACACAACGACAACAUUCGCAAGAACCGGUUACUACACUGAGGCACACUAUUACUACACCACCAAGGCUCCAGAGUAUUACACCGAAGCUGAUGCUGCCCCGAGUUACAACAUCAAACGUACUACACCGAAGCUCCCAAGUACUAAAACCACCAAGUCACCAGAGUAUUACACGUAUGUUGCCCCAGCUUGCUGCAUCGAGGCUCCCAAGUAUUACCUAGUUCCUAGCUACUACACCGAGGCUCCAAAUUAUUACACCACCAAAGCGGCUGAAUACUACACCGAGCCGCCCAAGUACUACACCAACAAGGCUCCCACCACAACUUGUGCUUCCCUGAGCCUCUACACCGAAGCCCCGAAGUAUUACUCUGCCCUAAGCUACACAACUACAACUGAGGCGGCCAAGUACUACGCAGCCCCAACUUACUACACAGCGGCUGCUCCUUCGUACUACGUUGAAUCGGAAUACUACACCUAGGCUUCAGUUUACUACACCACAACCUACGCUACACCUAGCUACUACACCGAGGCCCCUAUGUACUACACUACCAAGGCACCUGAGUAUUAUAACACUACUUACGCUGCUCCGACCAACUACACCGAAGCUCCGAAGUAUUACUCUAUCCCGAGUUACUUCACCACUAAGGCACCUGAAUAUUACACCACACCUUACGCUUCUCCAACUUACUAAAGGGACGUUCCUAAAUAUUAUAACCAUGUUCACAAAUUUUCGGUCAUAUCUUAAUAGUUACUAGUCACUGGGAAUUGUUGAUCUUUAAUAGGGAAAUAAUUUUUUUCAAACCUGGGUUAUCAUUGUGUACGACUUCUUUUGCCACCUAAAAGCAUUGAGACAUUGCGACGUUUAUUUUGGUUGGGUCUUUUCUAUUUCGCAUGUUGGAGGUGAUUAUUGCUCUAGUCGCUCCGCAUUCCGACAUAUUCUAGUGUUUGGACAAAUUUCAUUUACAGGGCAAGUUACGGAAGAGACCUACUGUGUGGUGUUUACUAAAAUUGAUUGAUGUUGACAGCUCUCUUUUUAACUUAAGUUGGUGUAACAAAAGAGUUGGAGAUAAUGUGUGGUUUAUCAUAGAAGUUUAUUUGAAGAAUGUGGAGUUUAUCAGUUGCUUGCCUAUAUCUUAUGUAAAACUUGAAAGUUGUAAAAAAUACACAAAGUCGUAAACUAAA